ensembl:lncRNA
AUUCACUCAUCUGAUUUCCCCUCUGAAUACUGCUUUUAAAUCCAAGUGCUCUGAUCUCUCUGGAUCAACUCCCCUAGGCUUCAGGCUCUACAAGGAGGACAGUGAUGGUCCCUUUAUGGAAGCUUGAACAAACACAGCUGUGCAAGGAAGAAAGAGGAAAAGUCAAGGAGAGAUUUUUCUUUCAAGAAAUUAUGGGAUUUCUGAACAUCUGGGCAUGCAUGAAGGAAAACAAGUGGAGGAAGACUGGUGCAACUAGCAAAAUGAGAACAUCUUCCCUUUUGCUGGUUGCUGAAAUGAAACAAGUAAAGUUUUGCCUCGUAAUGCAAUCUGACGGACAGCAAGGUUUGAGGCACUGAAGCACUAUGAGGAGAAUUUUCCUUUUUGAGGGAAAAGGGAGCUGCCAUUCCCAUUAAGUGCCCAGCCUAAAUUUGAUUGGACAGUGUCAUCUUUUCUUGCUGAGACCCACAGUACUCCAAGUAUCAUGUAUGCCCACAAGAAUAAAAGUCUUUCAGCUCUAUUCCUAUUUUCCCUCAUCAUUUUAUUGGUGCUGGGGAACAUCAGCUAUCUAAAUAGUGAAGAGGAAUUGAGAAUUAUAAGGAACAUAAGCAGGCAUUACAGCAAGUUAAAGGAAUCGGAUGUCUCUGGGGCUCUGAUGUUGUUAAUUUUCCAAAGUUCUUGUUUAGUUCUGAGACAAAAAUAAGUAUUCAUGCACAAGUUGGCAUGCUAAAGUCAGUGUAAGUGUUCAGCCAGAAGCUGUGGUGCAGUAUCUAAACUGAGCUUUGUUCUCCUCAUUAAUAUCUGGCCUACUGUGAAGCAAGGAAGUGAGGCAGAGUUCCUCAGGCAAGACAGGGAUGCAUCUAAAUGGCAGAGGAUGACAGUUUUCUCCCUAUGGAUGGAUCCUCCUGUAUUAUUUUGCCUCUUUUAACUGGUGGCAGACAAUAUGAAGGAGAGAAUGUAGCUGUUUGUGUGUUCUUAACAAUCAUGCAUCAUCACUGUAUGGUGGUAAUUGAGAGUGGAAACCAAAAUAGUUAAAAUGGCAUCAUUGGACAAAGCUUGAUAUUAAAGCUUCAGCAGAUGUGGAACUUUUUUGUUCAGCCCUUUUUUCCAUUAAGAAAAUCGUUGGCCAACUGCUGGAAAACCAUUUAGUGCUGUGGGAUGACAUUUUGUGUUCAUUUUGUUCAGCAGCAAUGAUUUAUAAAUUACUGUGACUCUACAUAUAAGACCCCCUAUUACAAAAUACCACCCCAAUCCUUCUUCCAUUGUGGUUGAUAUAAAAGCUCUUAUUGGUUUUAAUGUGUUCUGUAUAAAGCCCUGUGAUUGUAGUGGGGAGUCAGGAAUAAUUUAUGCCACCUACUGAUCAACUAAUACUCUCUGGUGGUUUUUUCUUUGUGUUUGGAAUAAGAGAGCACAGACAACUUCCAUUUAAGAUAAUUUAACUGAAGAUUGCUGACUGAGAUUAAGCUGUGUGGAGUGUUUUCUGGUGUUCCUAUUUGAUACUGGAUAAUAGUAAUAAUAACACUAUCUUGUAAUUUCUGCUGUCAUUAAAGUCUU